rnacentral:rRNA from 1 species
GACAGAGGAGGCGCGCGUUCUCCGGAGUCAUUGGGCGGAAAGGGUACGUAGGCGGCUAGUCAAGUCUGAGGUUAAAGACCACAGCUUAACUGUGGGAAGGCCUUGGAAACUGACUGGCUAGAGUGGGGCAGGGGUUGCGGGAAUUCCCGGUGUAGCGGUGAAAUGCGUAGAUAUCGGGAAGAACACCCGAGGCGAAAGCGCGCAACUGGGCCCUAACUGACGCUGAGGUACGAAAGCUAGGGGAGCGAAUGGG